GUCUCGAUGGUCUAAUGGUUAUGAUUUUCGUCUCACAAAGCCUAGUGUUCGCAACGGCCUGGAUGUAACGUCUUGUGCACGAAAGGUUCCCAGUUCGAUCCUGGGUCGAGACA